UCGGGCGUGGUGCGUGGUGCACACUCACCUCUGGUACAUCGUGAGGAGGUCGUGAAGUGGGAGUUCCGGGUUCGACUCCCGGCGUCCGAA